rnacentral:rRNA from 1 species
GACGGACGCUGGCGGCGUGCUUAACACAUGCAAGUCGAACGGAAAGGCCCUGCUUUUGUGGGGUGCUCGAGUGGCGAACGGGUGAGUAACACGUGAGUAACCUGCCCUUGACUUUGGGAUAACUUCAGGAAACUGGGGCUAAUACCGGAUAGGAGCUCCUGCUGCAUGGUGGGGGUUGGAAAGUUUCGGCGGUUGGGAUGGACUCGCGGCUUAUCAGCUUGUUGGUGGGGUAGUGGCUUACCAAGGCUUUGACGGGUAGCCGGCCUGAGAGGGUGACCGGCCACAUUGGGACUGAGAUACGGCCCAGACUCCUACGGGAGGCAGCAGUGGGGAAUAUUGCACAAUGGGCGGAAGCCUGAUGCAGCAACGCCGCGUGCGGGAUGACGGCCUUCGGGUUGUAAACCGCUUUCGCCUGUGACGAAGCGUGAGUGACGGUAAUGGGUAAAGAAGCACCGGCUAACUACGUG